rnacentral:rRNA from 1 species
AUUGAACGCUGGCGGCAGGCCUAACACAUGCAAGUCGAGCGAGCGGCGGACGGGUGAGUAAUGUAUGGGGACUGCCCGAUAGAGGGGGAUAACUACUGGAAACGGUGGCUAAUACCGCAUACUAUCGGAUAACCCAUAUGGGAUUAGGUAGUAGGUGGGGGAAAGGCUCACCUAGGCGACGACCUCUAGCUGGUCUGAGAGGAGGAUCAGCCACACUGGGACUGAUAUUCGGCCCAGACUCCUACGGGGGCAGGGGUGGGGAAUAUUGCACAAUGGGCGCAAGCCUGAUGCAGCCAUGACGCGUGUAUGAAGAAGGCCUUAGGGUUGUAAAGUACUUGCAGCGGGGAGGCGUUACCCGCAGAAGAAGCACCGGCGAACUCCGUGCCAGCCGCCGCGGUAAUUG